rnacentral:lncRNA from 1 species
AGAGCAACAGAGAAAGGAAAGAAUGGGAAGAGUUUAGGGUUUAGAGUUUUUCUUUUUUUUUUUUAGUUUAGGAACUGUGUGAUUUUCUUUAUCAUCUUGGAAAUUGCUUUUUUUCAAGGAACCAUCCAUAGGAAUUCAUUAGGUUAAGACAACUGGCUAAGCUGAUUUUAAGUUUUUGUAAUUUAUUUUUCACUUAGGUUUAUGUAAUUAGGGGAAAAGAUUAAGGAGAAUAAAUUAAUUUAUCGGGUGUUCUUCGUCAAGUUUAAUAGCGAACUCAAUUCCAUUUCUUAAAC